GACGAACGCUGGCGGCAUGCCUAAUACAUGCAAGUCGAGCGAGACCUUCGGGUCUAGCGGCGGACGGGUGAGUAACGCGUGGGAAUAUGCCCUUUGGUACGGAAUAGCCUCGGGAAACUGAGAGUAAUACCGUAUGUGCCCUUCGGGGGAAAGAUUUAUCGCCAAAGGAUUAGCCCGCGUUGGAUUAGGUAGUUGGUGGGGUAAUGACCUACCAAGCCUACGAUCCAUAGCUGGUUUGAGAGGAUGAUCAGCCACACUGGGACUGAGACACGGCCCAGACUCCUACGGGAGGCAGCAGUGGGGAAUCUUAGACAAUGGGGGAAACCCUGAUCUAGCCAUGCCGCGUGAGUGAUGAAGGCCUUAGGGUUGUAAAGCUCUUUCAGCUGGGAAGAUAAUGACGGUACCAGCAGAAGAAGCCCCGGCUAACUCCGUGCCAGCCGCCGCAGUAA
rnacentral:rRNA from 1 species